ensembl:snRNA U6 U6 spliceosomal RNA
GUGCUUGCUUCGGCAGCGCACAUACUAAAAUUGGAACGAUACAGAGACGAUUAGCAUGGCCCCUGCGCAAGGAUGACACGCAAAUUUGUGAAGCGUUCCAUAUUUUA